rnacentral:rRNA from 1 species
UACGGAGGAUGCAAGCGUUAUCCGGAUUUAUUGGGUUUAAAGGGUGCGCAGGUUGUUUGAUAAGUCAGUGGUGAAAGUCUGUCGCUUAACGGUAGGAUUGCCAUUGAUACUGUUGGACUUGAAUAUGGAUGAGGUAGGCGGAAUGUGUAGUGUAGCGGUGAAAUGCAUAGAUAUUACACAGAACACCAAUUGCGUAGGCAGCUUACUGAGCCGACACUGACGCUGAGGCACGAAAGCGUGGGGAUCGAACAGGA